CCGUUCUCAGUUCGGAUCGGAGUCUGCAACCCGACUCCGUGAAGCUGGAUUCGCUAGUAAUCGCGCAUCAGCCAUGGCGCGGUGAAUACGUUCCCGGGCCUUGUACACACCGCCCGUCAAGCCAUGAAAGCCGGGGGCGCCUGAAGUCCGUGACCGCGAGGGUCGGCCUAGGGCGAAACCGGUGAUUGGGGCUAAGUCGUAACAAGGUACC
rnacentral:rRNA from 1 species